rnacentral:rRNA from 1 species
AAGGCGAAAGCUGAAAAUUUUCAAGUUAUAAUGAAGAUUUAUAUAAAUACAUAUUUAUAUAUUUUGGAUUUAAACACUUGAUUAUUUUUGAACGAAAGGGAAUACGGUUCCAAUUCCGUAACCUGUUGAGUAUACGUUUGUUAUUAAAAAUGGGCUUUAUGCUCAUCCUGGCAACAGAAACAACCAUAAAGAAGCCGUCGAGAGGUAUCGGAAGAGUUUUCUUUUCUGUUUUAUAGUCGUACUACCAUGGAAGUCUUUCGAAGAGAGAUAUGGUAGAUGGACUAGAAGAGCAUGACAUUUACUGUUGUGUCGAUAUUUUCUCCUCGGACCUUGAAAAUUUAUGGUAGGGUCACGCAAACUUCUCAACAGGCCGUACCGAUAUCCGCAGCUGGUCUCCAAGGUGAAGAGUCUCUAGUCGAUAGAAUAAUGUAGGUAAGGGAAGUCGGCAAAUUAGAUCCGUAACUUCGGGAUAAGGAUUGGCUCUGAAGAUUGAGAUAGUCGGGCUUGAUUGGGAAGCAAUAACAUGGUUUAUGUACUCGUUCUGGAUAAAUAAAGAUCUUCGGAUCUUGUUCUCCGGAUAGUAGUUUACUUAACCAAUUGUGGAACUUUCUUGCUAAAAUUUUUAAGGAACUAUCGUCAGAUGGUCCUUUUAAAUUAUAACGAUUAUCAAUUAACAAUCAAUUCAGAACUGGCACGGACUUGGGGAAUCCGACUGUCUAAUUAAAACAAAGCAUUGUGAUGGCCCUAGCGGGUGUUGACACAAUGUGAUUUCUGCCCAGUGCUCUGAAUGUCAACGUGAAGAAAUUCAAGUAAGCGCGGGUCAACGGCGGGAGUAACUAUGACUCUCUUAAGGUAGCCAAAUGCCUCGUCAUCUAAUUAGUGACGCGCAUGAAUGGAUUAACGAGAUUCCUUCUGUCCCUAUCUACUAUCUAGCGAAACCACAGCCAAGGGAACGGGCUUGGAAUAAUUAGCGGGGAAAGAAGACCCUUUUGAGCUUGACUCUAGUCUGGCAGUGUAAGGAGACAUAAGAGGUGUAGCAUAAGUGGGAGAUUUAUGAAUUUAUUCAUAUAUCGCCAAUGAAAUACCACUACUCUUAUUGUUUCCUUACUUACUUGAUUAAAUGGAACAUGUAUCAUUUCCUAGCCAUUAUACGGAUAUAUUUAUUAUAUCUUAUGGUAUUUGGUCUUGAUGCAAGAUUCUUGAUCAAAAUAUCAAGAGUUUGUUAUAUAAUUGUAAACAGAUCUUAAUAAAAUAGAACAUCUUAUCGAUGUUACUAUUAUAAUUGAGAUUUGGUAUAACUCCAGCACUCAGGUAUGAUCCAAUUCAAGGACAUUGCCAGGUGGGGAGUUUGACUGGGGCGGUACAUCUCUCAAAUAAUAACGGAGGUGUCCCAAGGCCAGCUCAGUGCGGACAGAAACCACACAUAGAGCAAAAGGGCAAAUGCUGACUUGAUCUCGGUGUUCAGUACACACAGAGACAGCUAAAGCUCGGCCUAUCGAUCCUUUUGGUUUAAAGAGUUUUUAACAAGAGGUGUCAGAAAAGUUACCAUAGGGAUAACUGGCUUGUGGCGGCCAAGCGUUCAUAGCGACGUCGCUUUUUGAUCCUUCGAUGUCGGCUCUUCCUAUCAUUGUGAAGCAAAAUUCACCAAGCGUUGGAUUGUUCACCCAUUCAAGGGAACGUGAGCUGGGUUUAGACCGUCGUGAGACAGGUUAGUUUUAUCCUACUAAUGACAAUUUUGUUGCGACAGCAUUCCUGCGUAGUACGAGAGGAACCGCAGGUACGGACCAAUGGCACAAUACUUGUUCGAGCGAACAGUGGUAUGACGCUACGUCCGUUGGAUUAUGCCUGAACGCCUCUAAGGUCGUAUCCGUGCUGGACUGCAAUGAUAAAAAUGGGGUAAUUGCAUUGUAUGGCUUCUAAAUCAUUUGAAGUUUAUAUUAAUUUAUAAACGACAAUGAAUAUAUGAUGCCAAUGUUAUUUGUAACAUAGCAAAUCCGGGAGGAUUAAUUAUCACCUGGGUGCCGCGCUAGUUACAUAUUAAAACAUUAUUUAAUACAAUGACAAUGCCUAGAAUCAAUUGUAAACGACUUUUGUAACGGGCA